GUGGUCGAUCGCACAAGGCAGAGGGAAAGGGGUAAACCCUAAUUCUCAAGAAAUCUCCAAAUUGAAAAGGGAAUUGAAGGAUUUUAGGAUGCAUGUAUCAAGAUUAUCGAUCUCCUAAGUGUUCUUCACUAUCAAGAACGUGUCAAGGAGAGGUCAAGCAUAGGAGGAUAACGGGUCAAGAUAAGGCAAGGUGACAAAUACACUUAAUGGCGAGGUAAGUGAAUUUCGAUUCACUUUUUAGUAGGUUUAAUAGAUUUUAAUACUUAUGUUUACGAAACAUCAUGAAAGAACAUGUAAUAAUCAGAAGUACAAAGCCAAUAAUGCCUCAUUAUUGAGGAAGGUUGUAUUAAGCCGAAAGUAAAUUGGUGGGUUUAAACGGGUCGAAUUUUAUGUGCAUAUGUUGCGUAAUGUAAUAAAAUUCGUUAUGGUUAAGACCUUGGGUAGGAAUUUUUAGUCAUUAUGUAAGGGGAACACUUCCCGGACCAUUAGGAACAAGUUUUAUAUGAUUCGGUUGUCGGUUAGUUAAUGAACGGAUUGUUUCAUGUUAGUGUAGGAAAUUUUAUAAGUAUAUGUGUAUAGGAACCCAAAGGGCACGUGGGUUGAAUCAUAGAUUGUUUAUACUAUGUAAAGUUGUGAAUGUGACAUUCCGGCAUAAACCUACAUGUAAAAGAAGCUUGUGUAUAUAUUCGUGAUUAAUUAAUUGUGCGUAGGAAGGAACAUUGGCAUGUAUGAAGGUACGCAUGUAUAUGUAAGUGUGUAUAUAUAUAUAUAUAUAUGUAUGUAUGAUAAUAAGUACGUAGGUGUGAAUGUAUGUGUGAAUGAAUGUUCAAUGCUUAAGACAUAUGCAUGAACGUUAUCAAAGUGUUCGAGUAUUUAUGGUUACUAAUGAUGUGCGUUGAGUUGGAAUGUAAUGUAGGUAUGGGAUCGUUGGCUUCAUGAAGAAAUGGAGCUGGAUUUGGAUAAGAGUAUUUAAGAAAGCGCUUGGACAAUUCCACGACUACUUUAUAGAAUGCUCUACGAAAUUCUAUUAUAUAGUUUAAUGUUGUAUGGUAUGUUAAUGACUAAUGGUUUGGUUGUACGUGGUGUCCACAGGUAUCGCUUGGGUUUUCUCUACAUUUAUUGAAGUGAAGCGGACUUAGUUCGAGUUGAGAGCAAGGAUUGUACGGGGUAGAAUGGUCACAUAGUGUAACUCAUAUAGAUUUUGAAGUAUUUGAACCUUCAUGUGUUUGAUAUGUCUAUUAAAGAACGAAAUUUUUGGGCUCUUGUUUUCCGCUGCGUCGUAUUUUAAGUUAUUAUACGUUAGUCUUACAGGGAAUUGUUCUUAUUACGAACGGGUCAUGCCCGAAUUUUGUUAAAUAAUAGUAUGAUAAUAUUACAUUUUGGAAUGUGUAAUUUGGGCGUUACAAGUUGGUAUCAGAGCCCUGGUUUGAGAGAAUCAAGUAACAGGAGGUAAAUACUUGAACUCAAACCGGUGUGCUCUCGUGACCAAGAACCCGUACAAUCUAAGACUCGAUCGAGGCCUAAAUGCAAAAGCGAAUGUAAGUAUGUAUUAGAUUAUGUAUUUGAAGGAAACUAAUAGUAUGUUAUGUGCAAGGUAAGCUUAAGAGUUUGAAGAGGGUGAUCCGUGAAUGCGGAAUAGGAUGAACGCCAAGACGGGCGAAGGUGCAACUAGGCAAAUUAACCCCAGGUACACAAUACUAAUAUGUAUGAGUACCGAU
rnacentral:lncRNA from 1 species